UGUUAUGCAACUGAGCAGAGAUGGCUUGU
rnacentral:piRNA from 1 species